AUGAGUCCCAUCCCAAAGUUGGGGGAGGGCCGGGGGCUCCUUGGAUUGCGAGUCGGGAAGAUUGGAGUCCCGUGUUUGUCUCAGACACUUUGGGAGGUUGGGGUGGCGAGCAAUAAUAAAUUCCUUUUUGUACCUGUUGGAUUUGAGAUGCCUAUGGGACAUUCUGAUGGAGAGAGAAAUCUGCGGGAAGUUGGAGAAAAGUUGUGUGCUGUCUAAAUAGAUUUGGAAGUCAUUUGCGAAGAGGUAAUGAACCCGGGGAAACAGAAGAGAAAGUUUUAGGAUAGAGGGUUAGAUGCAGGCCCUGGGGAGUACUGAUUGUUUUAUGGGCCAGAACAGAAAUGAUGAUCCAGCGGAGAAGACUGAAAAACAGUUAGGCAGCGAAAGGGGAAGCUAGGGAAGAGCAAUGCGACAGAACCCAGGGAAGAUUGAGGGAAGGAACUGGGGCACCUUGCGCAUAGUAGGUGCUUAUUGAGUGACUGAGGAGAGUAUUAAGGAGGAGGGGGUGGUUAUGGUGAGGGGCAAGAAGGAUGUCUUUGAAUCUCUAGUACUUAGCACUGUGUAUGGGGUGUUCAGGGAGGACUAACAUCUCUGGUGUGAGGGCUUGCUGAGCCUUUUCAGGGCUGUUUAUCCACCUUUGGUGUCUGCCUUCACCCCACUCUCACCUGUGGCUACAAGAGGCUUCCAGUAAACCACCUGGGCAGAUGCGCUAAACCAGUUGUGGGUAAUCUUCGGGUCUCAAACCUGUCAGUGAGUUGGGGGAUGUCCCCAAACGGGUGAACUCUUCUCCUCCCCCAAUGAGUGGGUGAGAACAAUUCGUUCCAAGACAGUGGAGGCCUUAGUUAUUGAUCCGACUUGAAGAUGCUAAGGGCAUCCACUGCAUUCUGUGCCAUUGCCAGGUGUCCUGACUUUUGCCCUGCCACUGGACUUCGAUGACUCAGGAAGAGAGAGGCUGAUGACUUUGUGCAACUCUGCCUCACUAAAAUUCAAUACACUCACAAGUCAAAAAAUCACUUUUGAUGUUCUUGGUCCUCUUCAAAAAUGAAGGGCAAACCACCAGCUAGCACACCGUCAAGCAUUUGGUAAGUGCUUCAUAAAUGUUUAAAUGACUGACUUUCUAGGGAAUUCCUUCAAAUUAAUUGGAACACUAGGAUCACUGGUGGAGAAUGUGGCUUCUUCAGGGAGCUGUAGUUGGACCUCAGUUUGUACUUUCUCAUAUCCUCCUUGUUCUCCCCAGAAAUGCCAGUCAGUUUAAAUCCUUAGUCUCCAGCAUAACUGUAAUAUAGCAUGACUUGGCCCCUUCCUCUCUUUUCAGUUUUCUUGUGCCUUACUCCCCUUUAAGUGUGCUGUGAUCCAGUGGCACUGGCCCCCUUGGCUUUCCUUGACCAUAAUAAUAGUCUGGCCUGAGCAUCUUCACUGGCUGUCCCUGCAUGCCUAGAACUCUCUCGCUCCUGAUUUCUCUGGCUUCCUUCAAGUCUCAGCUAAAGUCCUUCCUUCUUUCCCAGGCCUCCUAUCUUAGUGCUUUCCUGAAUACAGUAUCUCUAAUUUGUCUUGAAUACAUAUUUCUACACAGUUGUUUGCAUGCUGUCUUCCAUAUUAGAAUAUGAGCUAGACAGCAGACUGUCUUUUACCUUUCUUUGUAUCUUAAGCACUUAGCACAAUACCUGGCACAUAGUAGGCAUUUAAUAAAUGGUGAUUUACUUGAUAGGAAUGAGAACUA
rnacentral:lncRNA from 1 species